GAGAAAGGAAAAGUCCGAGCUGUCACGGAGCAAAAACGGGAGCUGGAAGCAUGUAAAUAUAAUAAUAACCACAGCAGCCAAGAAGAGUGCCUGAGGAGCCCAUUUACAAAGCUGCUGUACUCAUUGCCUGGGGCAGAAGUAAGCACCAGAAUCACCAAGGAGUGUCACACUGAGGUUAAGAACAAGCUGACACUGGACAUCAAAUACUACAAACUCAGAAUAUCCUCUACUUCACCUCUGCAAGAUGGAGUUUUACACAUUCCCUGUGAAGCCAUGCUUCUAGUUUGAAGUGCUGACACCUGAAGUAGGCUGACAUGUCCUCACCACUCGCUCCCCCUUAUCGGGGACACACAGGCAGCUUCCUCACACAGCAGCCUGGACCAGCGCUGCCACUUUUAACCUGCUUCCUCAGACUAGCGCAGCGGUGUUUUCAUAUUCCUCACGGUGAUUCUGAAUGAAUUAGUCCUCUCUGUGUACUACACGACUGUAUUGGUACUGUGAGUUGCAGCUACAGGAGAGGACUCUGAGAUUAGGGUAGACAGACUUCUGCAUCAACAGACAGGGCAGGAUGUUGGCCUGUUUGCCUAUUAGCAGGCAUUAAACUGAUAAUAAGAAUGUUGACAGCGCAUCUUCUUAUUAGCUUAGAUUGUUGGGUAUGUGAUGGCAUCACAUUUUGUUACAAUCAUGCCUGGUUUGGUUUGUUAAUCAGAAAGUGACGCAAGCUAUCUGCAAGAAACAAUCAUGCCACACAAGCUGAGGAAGACUGACAUCUAAUAACCAGGAGUUACCCACACUUGGAAGGCAGAGUACAAUAAAAAUUAAACCACAGAGUAACACAGCG
ensembl:lncRNA